GACGAACGCUGGCGGCGUGCUUAACACAUGCAAGUCGAACGGAAAGGCCCUGCUUUUGUGGGGUGCUCGAGUGGCGAACGGGUGAGUAACACGUGAGUAACCUGCCCUUGACUUUGGGAUAACUUCAGGAAACUGGGGCUAAUACCGGAUAGGAGCUCCUGCUGCAUGGUGGGGGUUGGAAAGUUUCGGCGGUUGGGGAUGGACUCGCGGCUUAUCAGCUUGUUGGUGGGGUAGUGGCUUACCAAGGCUUUGACGGGUAGCCGGCCUGAGAGGGUGACCGGCCAAAUUGGGACUGAGAUACGGCCCGGACUCCUACGGGAGGCAGCAGUGGGGAAAAUUGCACAAUGGGCGGAAGCCUGAUGCAGCAACGCCGCGUGCGGGAUGACGGCCUUCGGGUUGUAAACCGCUUUCGCCUGUGACGAAGCGUGAGUGACGGUAAUGGGUAAAGAAGCACCGGCUAACUACGUG
rnacentral:rRNA from 1 species